rnacentral:misc_RNA from 1 species
AGUGUCAUUUGUACUUGAUUAGAAGGUUGAUCGCGGUUCAUUGUCUUGUUUUAUGUUCGUUCACACUUAUCUUUUGUGUACAUACAACAAAUAAGCGUCUAAACGAUAUGAGAAUCCCCAUGACCGGCGGCUUCGAGUGCAUCUCGGUCACAGUGCGUUUCGCUUGCACGUCGUUUCAUUGACGAUAUUAGUCAGCGAUCGGUGAAAAAUGAGUGACAAACCCAACAAAACAAUAACAGGGGCGGGUUCUUCUGCACCGAACAAGAUGCGGCUUUACGCUACAUGGGUUGAUAGAACCCCAUCCAAUUGUAUCCCGAGAUUAUGCUCUUUAACCCUCACGCGUCUCCAAAUCCUCAAACAACUGGGUUCGGAUAUUUCCUCCAUUUCCAUAGCCGUGAAGAUGCAGUCGAGCAAAAGGACUCUGAGAUCAAACGAAUUGGUUCUGCCUCCGAACGGAAUGUUAGACACCAUGCUAGACGUUACUUUUUGUCUUCAAUAUCCCCAUUUCCUGAAAAGAGAGGGCAACAAGCUACACAUCCUGUUGCAAAGAAGGAAGAGAUACAAGAACCGAACAAUGCUAGGGUUCAAGACUUUGGCUGAGGGUGUUAUACGGAUGGAUCAGGUGCUGCAAAAACCUCUGGAUUUGGAACUGGAUUUGACAGCUGACAGCGGAGGGAAGGAUAAAAUCUCAGGUACAUGUGCCAGACUGUACAUUCUCCAAGUUAGUUCGACUCCAGUCGAUCAGCAAGAACCCAAGACCUACAGAGAAAAUUACUUUAGUGAUGAUGAUGACGAAAUAUCUUCUGGCGAAGAGGAAGCAGGCGACCUGUCUGACAGCGAACCAAUCAGAACGAAGCAUCCACAUACCAGGCACAACCUGAAGCAACGUUUCGUCUCUUUGCUGAAACGCUUCAGGGUUCCAGAUUCAGAAGGAGGCCGGGGUGCUGACUUGGACAACCCUAGCGAUAUCCAGGCUCUGUUCCACGAGCUAGGAUCGCUGAGCUGCGAGGAGGAUUCGGGAAACGAACAGGACACCAUGUCGAUAUCCAGCACUCCCAAGCCUAGUCUACGCCCUUUUUUCAGCAGCAGCAAGAGUCUGUUGGAUUCGAAUAAUCUACCGUAUAUCGAAGCUGACAGGGUGGGAGAGGAGAAAACAGCUUCAGGUAGUGACGGUAAUGCAGAUGUUUGUUUUACCGACCCGGAAGGGCAGAGCGACCCUCAGACAGGAUCACCUCCAAGAGAACAGUCAGCUGGGUCGAGAAAACAGACUGGCGAAAGUGAAUUUAGCAACAUUAUGCAGGAAAUCAGCGAGAAAAAAUCGAAGUUGUUUAGGACUUCGGCGUCUUCGGCUAAAAAGAAAAACUCGCUGAGCGUCAGUUCGGAUGUACCUGUUCCAGAAAUCACUGUAAGAAAAGGUUUCAUGGAACAAAUAUCCAGACUGCUGCCCGUCGAGGAGAACCUGCUUCCAGACUGCGUAGUAUUGAUAUCAGGACCCGAGGCGAUGGCCGCCACCAUUACCAAUAGGUUAAGCUCAUUCCAGACGUACAAAGUGUUCCAUCCAACGUCCUCUGUCGAGGUGAAAGCGGUAUUAACAGCUGUGUUUUCGAAAAUACAGAAAUACUGUAAUAGCUGCGCGAAACCCAGCACACCCCUCAAAAUCGUGCUAGUCGGUGGCGAUAUCCUAACCGGAUGGUUCGUACGCCCCUACGUCGAGAUGCUGAGCAGCAAACCAUCCGAUUGGCUGUCGUACACGCGGCUCUUUGUCGUUCCGCUCGGUAACAGCGGCGUGUCGCGCCAUUUGGCAACGCUGGACAGCGGCUAUAUGACUUUGUUCCCUGCGGAGAACGAUCCAAAAGGAGACGAUAUUGCUCAAAGAUUAGUUAGGUAUACUUCUGUCCCUAUCACUGCUCCUCUGGCUCAACUUCCUAUUGGCGAAGCUAUGUUGACAUGUUACGACGAAACUAGUCAGUUAUUCAUUCCAUUUAUUAACGAGGUAAGAGUUGGUCCCGCAGAUCACGUUCUCUCAGUAUCUGUGGAUAUGGACGACAUCUGUUCCAGUCCCCCCGCUCCCUCACUAACCCCGCCCUCCUCCCCAAACGUUCAAGUGAGGGAAUCUCCAUGGGAACCGUUAGAAUUACAGAUCGACUAUUGGCAGAUGCCCAAGUUCAAUGAAAACCUCAUAAAGACUGACAAAGACAAAACUAAGCAGGACGGUAAGACGUCACUGAAGGGAGUUUUCAGGGGCUUGCAAGCGUCGCCGAGCAGUAACGCUGGCCUGUGCGUCAAUAUGCACAUGGCCAGUAAAGAGAAGAAACAAAAAAUUAUGAGACUGGGCAAGAAGAAAGAGAAGGAAAAAGACUCUGAGCCUCGGAGUCAGAGUGUCGAGGGCGUGUCCAGGUUGAUAUGCUCUGCCAGGGCUUCGCAUACUGUCCCUAUGAGAGUUUAUAUCGACGGUGUGGAGUUUGCAGGCGUCAAAUUCUUCCAGCUCAGCUCGACCUGGCAGACGCACGUCAAAAACUUGACAGUCUCCCUGGUGGGCGUGCCCUUGGCCAGCACCGAAAUGAACUGAACCGGCGCCAUCUGUCCGCGGCUGUUGCGAAGUAAACUAAACUUGGGAAGAGUUGUUAUUUGUCAUAUUGAAGAAGAUUACGUGAGAAGAACUAUAGUAUAGGAAACUGGCCAGAUGACC